GUGCUUGCUUCAGCAGCACAUGUACUAAAAUUGGAACAAUGCAGAGAAGGUUGGCACAGACCCUGUGCAAGGGUGACAUGGAAAUUUGUGAAGAGUUCCGUAACUGUUUUUU